rnacentral:tRNA from 1 species
GUUUUAAUAGUUUAAAUAAAAAACUUUGGUCUUGUAAACCAAUAAUGAAUCCCUUUUCUUAAAACU